UUUGUUUUUAAGUGGAACAUUUGACCAGCAGGGAAGGAAUGAAGAAACAAAAUUCAUUUUGGCUUUUUAUAAAUAUAAGGCCAAUUUCCAAUUGGACCCCAAAUAGUAUCUAAUUAUAUAAUAAGAAAAAUGUAUGUUCUUUCUCAACAGUACAUUUAAAAAAUUGGAGGAAGAGGAGAAAACAGUUUGGCGAAGAAGGUCCAUUAAAAGUUGGAGUAUCUAUGGCUACAGGAGCCACUUUUUUUAAAAAACAUCCUGGCAAAAGAUGCGCUUUUUACUCAAUGGACUGAUAAGUGCACAUCUAAUUUAUUCUCUUUCUACUUGUGUCCUUUAGGUUUGUUUUCAGUAUUUACUGAUAUAAAACUAAAGGAAAAAAGUCAACCUAAAAUAAUUUAAAAUUAGAUUAACAUCUCAAUCAAAUUUUAUGGAUUUUUUUCCUGUAGGUAAUAUAUUUAAUCCAGAAGUUAAAUCAUGGGAACAUGAUUUUGAUUUUAAAAAUUUAAAAAGUGAUUAUGCUUCCUUAUGUUGCAAUAUCAGUUAUUUAACUACAUAAUAGUGUUUUAUAUAACUCAAAGUCAGGAAAAUUAAAUAAAAAUGACUCUAGAUUUUGGAAUAGAAGUGCAAUGCUUUAUGUGGGAGCAGUUGGAGCAGGGUGUCUUCACGGACUAGAAGGAAAACUUGAAACUUCCACCUUUUUCUUAGUUUCUUUUAUCAUUCAUCUCUUGCUGGAUCUGCUAAAUCACCCCAACUUGCUCAGAGCUCUCAUCUUGAAGCAGUGAGUAGGCAAUCCCACUUCUUUCUUUCCCUUUGAAGUGUAAGCCCUGAAUGGAGCUACAGGUCCCUGCGCCACACGGGCAUAUACAACCUAAACUGGUGCAUACGUGCCCUGUUAGCCACGGGACUCUUUACAGAAAGAAAUCCAAAAUAAUGACUGUAAUAAAAAGUAAACAAGCUUUAGCCAGGUUGGCUCUUUACCAUGGAGAAAGCCAAAUUUUGACUUUUUUAUGGCCCAAUUCCUUGUUGAUAGCUAGCGUUGCUUCCUGAUUUGAUUGUAUGUACGCCUGGAGAGCCUACAACGUCUAACACCGUUUGGGGAAGGAUGAUAAAAACGUCUUCUGAGAUAGCAUCUGCAGCAACUGGAAUGGGAAAUCAAGAUAUAAGUCUCAGACAGAACGUUGGUUGAAUUACAAAUCACCUUGUCACAAAAUUGUAUAUAACCUUUGAUCAUACACCUUUUUAUUUUAUUGUAAACUUCUAUUUGCAUCCAACCUAAUGAUAGUAAUAACUAAGUAAAAAAACAGUAUAUGGCUUUCCAUACAAGUAUUUUCACAAAAGUCAUUUGCCUAGAGAGUGAAAAAUACUGCUUUGUUAAACUAUUUUCAUCUGUC